rnacentral:rRNA from 1 species
UUAAGCGACUAAGCGUACACGGUGGAUGCCCUGGCAGUCAGAGGCGAUGAAGGACGUGCUAAUCUGCGAUAAGCGUCGGUAAGGUGAUAUGAACCGUUAUAACCGGCGAUUUCCGAAUGGGGAAACCCAGUGUGUUUCGACACACUAUCAUUAACUGAAUCCAUAGGUUAAUGAGGCGAACCGGGGGAACUGAAACAUCUAAGUACCCCGAGGAAAAGAAAUCAACCGAGAUUCCCCCAGUAGCGGCGAGCGAACGGGGAGCAGCCCAGAGCCUGAAUCAGUGUGUGUGUUAGUGGAAGCGUCUGGAAAGGCGCGCGAUACAGGGUGACAGCCCCGUACACAAAAAUGCACAUAUUGUGAGCUCGAUGAGUAGGGCGGGACACGUGGUAUCCUGUCUGAAUAUGGGGGGACCAUCCUCCAAGGCUAAAUACUCCUGACUGACCGAUAGUGAACCAGUACCGUGAGGGAAAGGCGAAAAGAACCCCGGCGAGGGGAGUGAAAAAGAACCUGAAACCGUGUACGUACAAGCAGUGGGAGCCUCUUUAUGGGGUGACUGCGUACCUUUUGUAUAAUGGGUCAGCGACUUAUAUUCUGUAGCAAGGUUAACCGAAUAGGGGAGCCGAAGGGAAACCGAGUCUUAACUGGGCGUUAAGUUGCAGGGUAUAGACCCGAAACCCGGUGAUCUAGCCAUGGGCAGGUUGAAGGUUGGGUAACACUAACUGGAGGACCGAACCGACUAAUGUUGAAAAAUUAGCGGAUGACUUGUGGCUGGGGGUGAAAGGCCAAUCAAACCGGGAGAUAGCUGGUUCUCCCCGAAAGCUAUUUAGGUAGCGCCUCGUGAAUUCAUCUCCGGGGGUAGAGCACUGUUUCGGCAAGGGGGUCAUCCCGACUUACCAACCCGAUGCAAACUGCGAAUACCGGAGAAUGUUAUCACGGGAGACACACGGCGGGUGCUAACGUCCGUCGUGAAGAGGGAAACAACCCAGACCGCCAGCUAAGGUCCCAAAGUCAUGGUUAAGUGGGAAACGAUGUGGGAAGGCCCAGACAGCCAGGAUGUUGGCUUAGAAGCAGCCAUCAUUUAAAGAAAGCGUAAUAGCUCACUGGUCGAGUCGGCCUGCGCGGAAGAUGUAACGGGGCUAAACCAUGCACCGAAGCUGCGGCAGCGACACUAUGUGUUGUUGGGUAGGGGAGCGUUCUGUAAGCCUGUGAAGGUGUACUGUGAGGUAUGCUGGAGGUAUCAGAAGUGCGAAUGCUGACAUAAGUAACGAUAAAGCGGGUGAAAAGCCCGCUCGCCGGAAGACCAAGGGUUCCUGUCCAACGUUAAUCGGGGCAGGGUGAGUCGACCCCUAAGGCGAGGCCGAAAGGCGUAGUCGAUGGGAAACAGGUUAAUAUUCCUGUACUUGGUGUUACUGCGAAGGGGGGACGGAGAAGGCUAUGUUGGCCGGGCGACGGUUGUCCCGGUUUAAGCGUGUAGGCUGGUUUUCCAGGCAAAUCCGGAAAAUCAAGGCUGAGGCGUGAUGACGAGGCACUACGGUGCUGAAGCAACAAAUGCCCUGCUUCCAGGAAAAGCCUCUAAGCAUCAGGUAACAUCAAAUCGUACCCCAAACCGACACAGGUGGUCAGGUAGAGAAUACCAAGGCGCUUGAGAGAACUCGGGUGAAGGAACUAGGCAAAAUGGUGCCGUAACUUCGGGAGAAGGCACGCUGAUAUGUAGGUGAAGCGACUUGCUCGUGGAGCUGAAAUCAGUCGAAGAUACCAGCUGGCUGCAACUGUUUAUUAAAAACACAGCACUGUGCAAACACGAAAGUGGACGUAUACGGUGUGACGCCUGCCCGGUGCCGGAAGGUUAAUUGAUGGGGUUAGCGGUAACGCGAAGCUCUUGAUCGAAGCCCCGGUAAACGGCGGCCGUAACUAUAACGGUCCUAAGGUAGCGAAAUUCCUUGUCGGGUAAGUUCCGACCUGCACGAAUGGCGUAAUGAUGGCCAGGCUGUCUCCACCCGAGACUCAGUGAAAUUGAACUCGCUGUGAAGAUGCAGUGUACCCGCGGCAAGACGGAAAGACCCCGUGAACCUUUACUAUAGCUUGACACUGAACAUUGAGCCUUGAUGUGUAGGAUAGGUGGGAGGCUUUGAAGUGUGGACGCCAGUCUGCAUGGAGCCGGCCUUGAAAUACCACCCUUUAAUGUUUGAUGUUCUAACGUUGACCCCUGAUCGGGGUUGCGGACAGUGUCUGGUGGGUAGUUUGACUGGGGCGGUCUCCUCCUAAAGAGUAACGGAGGAGCACGAAGGUUGGCUAAUCCUGGUCGGACAUCAGGAGGUUAGUGCAAUGGCAUAAGCCAGCUUGACUGCGAGCGUGACGGCGCGAGCAGGUGCGAAAGCAGGUCAUAGUGAUCCGGUGGUUCUGAAUGGAAGGGCCAUCGCUCAACGGAUAAAAGGUACUCCGGGGAUAACAGGCUGAUACCGCCCAAGAGUUCAUAUCGACGGCGGUGUUUGGCACCUCGAUGUCGGCUCAUCACAUCCUGGGGCUGAAGUAGGUCCCAAGGGUAUGGCUGUUCGCCAUUUAAAGUGGUACGCGAGCUGGGUUUAGAACGUCGUGAGACAGUUCGGUCCCUAUCUGCCGUGGGCGCUGGAGAACUGAGGGGGGCUGCUCCUAGUACGAGAGGACCGGAGUGGACGCAUCACUGGUGUUCGGGUUGUCAUGCCAAUGGCACUGCCCGGUAGCUAAAUGCGGAAGAGAUAAGUGCUGAAAGCAUCUAAGCACGAAACUUGCCCCGAGAUGAGUUCUCCCUGAGACUUAGAGUCUCCUGAAGGAACGUUGAAGACGACGACGUUGAUAGGCCGGGUGUGUAAGCGCAGCGAUGCGUUGAGCUAACCGGUACUAAUGAACCGUGAGGCUUAACCUU